rnacentral:rRNA from 1 species
CCCUUAGAUGUUCUGGGCCGCACGCGCGCUACACUGGUGCGUUCAACAAGUUUACAACCUUGAUUGACAAGUCUGGGUAAUCUUUUGAAUGCGCACCGUGCUAGGGAUAGAUUAUUGCAAUUAUUAAUCUUGAACGAGGAAUUCCUAGUAAACGCAAGUCAUCAGCUUGCAUUGAUUACGUCCCUGCCCUUUGUACACACCGCCCGUCGCACCUACUGAUUGAAUGACUCGGUGAAAAGUUGGGACUGUGAGAACAAUUGAUUCAUUUCAAAUGUACUCGUGGGAACUUUUUUUAACCUCGCCAUUUAGAAGAAGGUGAAGUCGUAACA